rnacentral:rRNA from 1 species
UACGUAGGGUGCGAGCGUUAAUCGGACUUACUGGGCGUAAAGCGUGCGCAGGCGGUUUUGUAAGCCGGAUGUGAAAUCCCCGGGCUCAACCUGGGAAUGGCAUUUGGGACUGCAAGGCUGGAGUGUGGCAGAGGAGACUGGAAUUCCUGGUGUAGCAGUGAAAUGCGUAGAUAUCAGGAGGAAUACCGAUGGCGAAGGCAGCCCCCUGGGUCAAAACUGACGCUCAUGCACGAAAGCGUGGGGAGCAAACAGG